GUCUCGGUGGCGCAAUUGGUAAGCAUUUAUCCCUAGCAGUUUCCAAACCCAUAACUAGAUCACUAAUAUUCGAAAAGGUUAGCGCGUACGACUGUUAAUCGUGAGGUUGAGAGUUCGAUCCUCUCCCGGGACG